ensembl:snoRNA Gm22520 predicted gene, 22520
CAGCAUUUUUCCAAGCGAAUAGCUGGCUGUAGCUAUAGAAUCUCCAACUACAUGCCUGAAUAACUGGAGAAAAUUUGAGAGCCCAGAUCAAAACAGUGAUUGCAACUGCCACUUGUUUUACCUAUAUAG